GUCAAGACUGACGAUUGCGAAAGCAUCUGCCAAAGGUGUCUUCAUUGACCAAGAACGACAGUUAGGGGAUCGAAGAUGAUCAGAUACCGUCGUAGUCCUAACUGUAAACUAUGCCAACCAGGGCUCAGGCCGCAUCGUGUAUAUUGAAAUAGAAUUUCAUAUAACUUUGAUGCAGGUUGGGCCCCCCGGGAAACCUAAAGUGUGUGGGUUCCGGGGGGAGUAUGGUUGCAAGGCUGAAACUUAAAGGAAUUGACGGAAGGGCACCACCAGGAGUGGAGCCUGCGGCCUAAUUUGACUCAACACGGGGAAUCUCACCAGGUCCGGACAUCGGAAGGAUUGACAGACUGAUAGAUCUUUCAUGAUUCGGUGAAUGGUGGUGCAUGGCCGUUCUUGGUUGGUGGAGUGAUUUGUCUGGUUUAUUCCGUGAACGAGCGCAACCACAGCCUCUAUUUUGGCCGUACGAAAGGCUACUGCCCUGUGUGUGGCGUGUGUGUGUGUAAACACACACACKCUGUGCACAGGGUGCGUAUGUGAAUUUGCCACUGAUCGUGCUGGCGCGUUAAGUCUCCAUUCAUUUGUGUGGGGUAGUGGUGUGCGUGUCUCUGUGAGACGUGAGUGCGUUGUGGGUGGGUAUUCCAAACGCUGCCGUGCUGCGCCAACAUGUAUGCUGGCAAUGGACUAGAUGGCGAUCGUGAUGACUCGCCAGACUGUCCUGUUGUACUGUGUUGGUGAGUGUGUGCGGUAGCGGCCUGUCCACGAUGUGCACAUGUUUCUUGCAGUAGGACACGUGUGCCUGUUCCAUGUGGGUGGUGGAGAUGCGUCAGAUAUAUGUCGAUUGGUGGGUGUUCGUGCGCCUUCAUAGAGGGACUACCGGUGGCAAAUCGGUGGAAGUGUGGCAAUAGCAGGUCAGUGAUGCCCUUCGAUGUUCUGGGCUGCACGCGUGCUACAAUGGUUACGACAAUGAGUGUGUCUGCGUCGAAAGAUGUGGGUAAUCUUCUCAAUCGUAGCCUUGCUGGGGAUUGAGCCUUGAAAUUAUUGCUCAUGAACCUGGAAUUCCUCGUAAGUACGAGUCACCAGCUCGUGCUGAAUACGUCUCUGCCCUUUGUACACACCGCCCGUCGCUACUACCGAUUGAAUGAUUCGGUGAGGGCAUGGGAUUGAUCGGUUUCGUUCAUUGUAAACUGGUCGAGAGCCUG
rnacentral:rRNA from 1 species